CCUGUUUAUCUUCUUCAUUUGCCAAAAGAGGAGGACUCCACCGCCUUAGAGCCAGAGAAAGAUGCAGAUGUCUACAGAGAGAAGAGAGUGAGAGAGAGUCGUGAGGAAGUGGCGGCUGACCAUCGUCUUCGGUGGCGGAGCCACGCCGGCGGACUAGGGUGUAACAAAAAGAGCAAGAGAGACAGGGAAGGGAUUUGGUAAAAUAAAUGCGAGCCACAGUCGACUAGGGCUAGAAGAGAGUUUCGAUGGUCUAUUAGGGAUGGAAGGGGUGGUUCAACGCUGGUGGUUUGGGCGGGCAGAUCUGGUACCAGAUGGGUUAUAGGUGGAUAAGAGCGGCGGUGGUUGUUGUUGGUUGGUGGUGUCGUGCGAGUGUGGUAGUUCAGGAUAAGGUGGUGUCGAUGGUGAGCCACCCCCGGAUUAGAGGAUCCACCAAGCUACAUUCUCCUUCUUCGGACAUGUUCUUUGCUCGCCGGUAAUUUGUUUGCCUCGCUCUCUGAACGACCGUGUUUUCUGUUGUUUCUUUUUCGCUUUGCUUUUGGCUUCCGACUUUCUGUGUUUCGGCUGCAAGAUUACUUUACCCUAAAUAACAAAAUGAAACAAGUUUUUUGAGGAUACAAACCUAUGCUGUCAUCAGUGUGGACUGUGGAGUAGCAUCAUUCUUUUAUAUUGUGAUUUUUGCAAUCUAUGCCCUAACUUUAAAAAAUCAACAGUAAGGAGUGGUAUCAUCAUUUAGUUAAGAUUUUAGAUUGAGUUAUGUUUCAAUAGAACAUUUACGCAUACAUAAUGUGCAGAUAUAUUUUGUGAUAUUACUAUUUGUGUUUAUGCCCAUAUUUGUUGAAUUCUAACACAUAUCUUGAUAUCACUCAAACUGUUGUACUAUUUGCCCAUUAACUAGAUUGACCCAUGUCACUUUCAAAAACACAAAGAACCAUCGUUGGACCCUCCCAUAGUAUUGAACAUAAUCAAUAUAAUUGACUAUGUAUACUACUAAAUUAAUUAUCAUACGAGCUUUAUUGUGCUGUAGGGAUGAACUUGGUACCGGUAUUUAAGGUAAAAAUAAGUAAAAUACCGGUAACGUACCAAACGGAAAGUAACGAUCAUGAAAACACCAAAAGUGGGUAUGAGUACUACUACCAAAAUUGAUUUGGUACAGGAAACUCGGUAGUCAAUGCCGGUACCCGAUACCAUAUGAUCAUUCCUUUUUUGUUGUUAUUUGGCGUUUUCAAUCACUAAACCAGAGACCUUAUAUCUCCAUGAAGAAACUCGGUAGUCAAUGCAGGUACCCGGUACCAUAUGAUGAUGAAGCAUCAUCUUCAGUUUCAAGUACAGAAGAUCCACUUGAAUUUAGUGAAGAUGAAGAUGAUGAUGAAGCAUCAUCUUCAGUUUCAAUAGCAUACAUAAUUAUCAUUGUUUUAAGUUGAUUGGGAGCGUGUCAAGAUUUCAUUGAUAGAAUCUGAGGUGCAGUAGAAGCAUUUUCUAGAAGACAUUUGUCAGGUGGCGCCUGGCAAUGUUUCACGAAACCAGAUUUGUGAUGAUGUACCAUCAUCAAAAGAUGUGUUGCCUAAUUCUGAGAAAAUUCGAUCAUCUCAAGAUAGCGAUUUUUUCGAAACAGGCUGCCACCGCUGGCAGCAGACCAGGCUCCUCAGCGAUGUGGGUUAGAAUAUAAGUUAAGGGAAGGGAUAAGCUGUAAACGUGUACUAGACGAGGAAGGCGCCAAUGAGUUGUGCAGGUUCGUGUAUGAACUGUGAAGACCAGAAUCAAGUCGCACCUCAAAGAGGACGCGUGAAGAAGGAUGAUACAGGGAACCGCUUUUCGGAGGGCUACAACCUAGGAACAUUAUGCAGCCGAAACUAACAUAAGCCAGAACGCCUAUCGCCACCAUGUACAAGAAAUGCGAUAUGAAUACAAGAAAGUAAUGUCACAAGCUUCAGGCUAUCAGCCACUAUGAUAUACAUAACCGAUCCCCGGGUAGGCGAUGUGAAUACAAGAAUGUAAUAUCACAAGCAUUGGACUUUCAUUCACUGUGAUACAUAUAUGACCGAUCCCCGCCGCAUCGCGGCGG